rnacentral:lncRNA from 1 species
UGAGGAAACACUUCUGUUACCACAAAUUAUUUCAGUAGCAAAGAAGAAAUGAAAGAAAGUGAAUGUAAUGCUAGGACUUACUAGGAAAGAAACAUUGUGGCAUUUACAAAAGGUCUGCAGGAAGUCUAUAAUGAAGUUUUUUAUGGAAAGUGGGUGUGAAAGACACUGUAUCAGUGGCGAGAUUCUAGGAGUCUCUGAAAGAAGAAGCUCUGUCAGGAAGACCAGAAUUGUCUGAUCUUGCUGAAAAUCCCUUUGAAAGCAGAACUGCAUCAUUUUACAUUGAUGCAUUUGAGGUGGAUGGAGUUGUGCUACACCAGAGAAUGAUGAACCCACUUGAAUCUUCAGUGUUGUAACUACAGCAGGAAAAAAAAAAAAAAAAAAACCGACAACAAAACAAGUAAACAGAAAUCAACCCUCAAAUAACG